CCUACGGGAGGCAGCCGUGGGGAAUAUUGGGCAAUGGAGGCAACUCUGACCCAGCAACGCCGCGUGAAUGAUGAAGGUCUUCGGAUUGUAAAGUUCUGUGAUGGGGGAUGAACACAAGGACGGUACCCCAAUAGCAAGCCACGGCUAACUACGUGCAAGCAGCCGCGGUAAGACGUAGGUGGCAAGCUUUAUCCGGAAUGACUGGGCGUAAGGGGUGCGUAGGUGGUUUAGUAGGUUGGCGGUGUAAUGCCGGGGCUCAACCUCGGCGCUACCGCCAAAAUGAUUAGACUAGAGUGCAGGAGGGGUAAGUGGAAUUCCUAGUGUAGCGGUGGAAUGCGUAGAUAUUAGGAGGAACAUCAGGGGCGAAGGCGACUUACUGGACUGUAACGGACACUGAGGCACGAAAGCGUGGGGAGCAAACAGGAUUAGAUACCCGAGUAGUC
rnacentral:rRNA from 1 species